UGGGGAAUAUUGCGCAAUGGGCGAAAGCCUGACGCAGCGACGCCGCGUGAGGGAUGAAGGUUUUCGGAUCGUAAACCUCUGUCAGAAGGGAAGAAACCGCACUGUGCUAAUCAGCAGUGCCUUGACGGUACCUUCAAAGGAAGCACCGGCUAACUCCGUGCCAGCAGCCGCGGUAAUACGGAGGGUGCAAGCGUUAAUCGGAAUUACUGGGCGUAAAGCGCACGUAGGCUGCUUUGUAAGUCAGGGGUGAAAUCCCACGGCUCAACCGUGGAGCUGCCUUUGAUACUGCUUAGCUUGAGUGCGGGAGGGGGUGGCGGAAUUCCAGGUGUAGGAGGGAAAUCCGUAGAUAGCUGGAGGAACGUCGGUGGCGAAGGCGGCCACCUGGACCGGUAUUGACGCUGAGGUGCGAAAGCGGGGGGAGCAAGCAGG
rnacentral:rRNA from 1 species